UUUUAGCAUACUGGCAGGCUCAUGUACUCCGAUCAUUUACACUGGGAGAAGCACAACGGUUGCACGGACCGUAGUGGAGCAAAACUGCAAAUGCAAAAGAAAAGGGAGGACAGCCAGGCUGACAGGGCUCUACUACCCCAGACGGAGUUUGAAAAACAUGCUUCCUUCCUUGGUCUCUACUCCAAGUCACUUUCCAUGUUCGAUCGCUCGCUUCUCUCCGUCACAAGUAUAGCGCUGGCUCACAGCUAGUCCUCGUGAAUUGCUGCCUGCCAGGGUGAUUGCCUCCGUCAAGAACCAACCCGACUGCAUCCGCAUGGCGCCCGACGCCGACGGGAUGGUGCCCAGCAUGCCCCCUUGCGCGCCUCACCUCAUGUUCUGCCGGCCACACGCCGCCGCGCCUCACACCGUCAUGUCGCCACCUGCUAUCAACGACGAGGAGGAGAGGCGCCUGAAGCUGUCCGACUUCGAGUGGCUGGCCGACCUCGGGGAGGGCGCCAGCGGCGUCGUCACCAAGGUGUGCCUCCGCGGCACCGCCGCCGUCUUCGCGCUCAAGGUCGCCCACUACCCCGCCGCCCCGGACGCGGCGCGCGAGCACGACGAGUCCCUCCGCCGCGCGCGCGGCUCGCCCCACGUCGUCCGCUGCCACGCCGUCCUCCGCGGCGGCCGCGGCGAGCCCGCCUGCCUGCUCGAGCUCAUGGACGCCGGCUCGCUCGACUCCGUCCUCCGCCGCCGCCGCCACCCAGGCCUCCCGGAGCCCGCGCUCGCCGAGGUGGCCGCGCGGUGCCUCGCGGGGCUGGCGCACCUCCACUCGCGCGGCGUCGCGCACCUCGACCUCAAGCCCGACAACCUCCUCGCCAGCGCGCGCGGCGACGCCAAGAUCGGGGACCUCAGCGUCUCGCGGACCUUUUCCCUUUCCCCCGGGGACCGCGACCGCUCUCGGGUCUCCAUCGCCGUCGGCACCACCGCCUACAUGAGCCCGGAGCGGUUCGCGCCCAACGCCCAGGCCGGCCCGCGUGGGGCCUGCGCCGCCGACGUCUGGAGCUUGGGCCUCACCGUUCUCGAGCUCUUCACGGGACACCGAGCCUUCCUGCCUGACGAGGACAGACCGUCCUGGAAGAUGCUCAAGGAGGCCAUCUGCCAGGGUGAGCCACCAUCGGUGCCGGAGAGCGCGGCGUCGUCGCCGGAGCUGCGUGGGUUCGUGGCGGCGUGCCUGAAGAAGGAGCCCAGGAGGCGUGCCACCGUACCGCAGCUGCUCGCCCACCCGUUCGUCGCGCGCCGGGACGUGCAGGCAUCGCGCCGCGCGCUUCGGGAGAUCAUCACGGAGGAGACCAUGUAAAAGAGCGGGCUGCAACACAGACUGUCACUUGCAUCCUUGACAGUAUGUGUCAGUCUUAUUGUUUUAUUCUUGACAGGAAUGGCGAACUUACUUGAACAACCGCUACAAUAAAUGGAAGCUGCUUGCUAUUGCUACCAACAACACUGAAAAUCAAGAUGGUGAAAAGCAGGGACUUGCAGUUCUAGGGGAGCAAAAUGCAGUUGCGAUUGGCGGUUAAUUUGAGCAUCCAUGCAAGGAGGAUAGUUUAUGCAGUGUGCAGACCAAGGGAGCUAUUCUGGUUGAAGAAAAUCGAGAUUCUGCUACAGUAGUUCAAUUCAGUUUGCUUUGUAGGUUGCAGAAAGUUGCAAGUCUGAGACAAUUCUUCAUUCAUAGGGUUUUUUCGGUUCUGUUAUUAUGUACAGUAGUACUUUCGUUUUUCUGGAGUAUCUAUACUUGGGGUGGUUGGGAGAAUAGAGCUCAGUUCUUUCUCGGUGGAGAUGUUUUCUGUUUUGAGAUGGCAUUAGGAAUUGUACCUAGAGGUUUGGUAAGACUUUUUGCUACCAACACAAUGGUUGUGGUGCAUCUUCUAU